rnacentral:rRNA from 1 species
AGCGAACGCUGGCGGCAGGCCUAACACAUGCAAGUCGAACGGACCCUUCGGGGUUAGUGGCGGACGGGUGAGUAACACGUGGGAACGUGCCUUUUGGUUUGGAAUAGCUCCUGGAAACGGGUGGUAAUGCCGAAUGUGCCCUUUGGGGGAAAGAUUUAUCGCCAUUAGAGCGGCCCGCGUCUGAUUAGCUAGUUGGUGAGGUAAAGGCUCGCCAAGGCGACGAUCAGUAGGGUCUGAGAGGAUGACCAGCCACAUUGGGACUGAGACACGGCCCAAACUCCUACGGGAGGCAGCAGUGGGGAAUCUUGCGCAAUGGGCGAAAGCCUGACGCAGCCAUGCCGCGUGAAUGAUGAAGGUCUUAGGAUUGUAAAAUUCUUUCACCGGGGACGAUAAUGACGGUACCCGGAGAAGAAGCCCCGGCUAACUUCGUGCCAGCCGCCGCGGUAAUAC